GCUGGCGGCGUGCUUAACACAUGCAAGUCGAGUGCGCGCCUGUAGCAAUACAGGUGGCGCACGGCGCACGGGUGCGUAACACGUGGGUAAUCUGCCCUUCGAUGGGGAAUAACUCGCCGAAAGGCGAGCUAAUUCCGCAUAAUAUUCCGGGGACUUUGGUCCUUGGAUUCAAAGGCGUAAGUCGUCGGAGGAGGAGCCCGCGCACGAUUAGCUAGUUGGUGAGGUAAUGGCUCACCAAGGCUAUGAUCGUUAGCUGGUCUGAGAGGAUGGCCAGCCACACUGGAACUGAGACACGGUCCAGACUCCUACGGGAGGCAGCAGUGGGGAAUCUUGCACAAUGGGCGAAAGCCUGAUGCAGCGACGCCGCGUGGGGGAUGAAGCUUCUCGGAGUGUAAACCCCUUUCGACCCGGACGAAUGCCCCGCAAGGGGACUGACGGUACGGGUAUAAGAAGCCCCGGCUAACUACGUGCCAGCAGCCGCGGUAAGACGUAGGGGGCCAGCGUUGCUCGGAAUUACUGGGUGUAAAGGGUUCGUAGGCGGUGUGGCAAGUCGGGAGUGAAAUCUCUGGGCUCAACCCAGAGUCUGCUUCCGAAACUGCUGUGCUUGAGUGUGGGAGAGGCGCGUGGAAUUGCAGGUGUAGCGGUGAUAUGCGUAGAUAUCUGCAGGAACACCCGUGGCGAAAGCGGCGCGCUGGACCACUACUGACGC
rnacentral:rRNA from 1 species